UCCCAGGCUGUGAAGGGCAGAGCUGCCUCCAGGUUUCAGCAGGCUGUCCUCCAACCAUCUUCCAUUCAGGCUCCGGACAUUGUUGGGAACGAGAGCUAAAUAGCUCCUCGCCUGUUUCAUAACGGAGAAACGAGCCUCUGUAAGAGGCCACAAAGCUGCAUUUUCUUCAUGUUGCUGAAGCAAGAAAUCCAAAGGAAGCAACUACUAUCCAAGUACUGCAGCUAAUGGCCCAUGUUAACAAGCGGUCCUGGCAGAAGGUGAACACAGGGAAAUGGGUGGAAAAUCAAAACGGAAAUGAAAGAGAUUGUUAUCAGUAGGAUAAAAAAAAACAAAAACAAAAAAACCUGAGAAGGACAUCUCCCUUUUUCUUAUGUGCUGGUGCUAAGGAUCUCAUCACCGUGUGCUGAGAAAUUUAGAUUGCCCUUGCUUUCCCAGGAAGACUCGAGUGGUGAAUGACUUCCAGCAGCACAGGAGCUUUGCAGCCACCAGCAACAUCCUUCGGCCUGCCAAUGGCCACGGCACCCAAGUGGCUGCCGUCCUCAUCGUCCUCAUGUAUAGAAAACACCUAAGGGCAGCAUUUUUGUUGGUGAAGAGCAACUUUCACCUCUCAUCUUGCGACAUCCUCAAAGGAGGUCAGGUUUUUGGAACUGAUGAACACGCAUGCCAUGGAAGAAGUCAAGUCGCACUGAGGUUCUUCAAUAUGGCAGCGAUAAAUUAAACCUUUCCACACAAAUAAGCUAAAUAAAGCUCGGAUAAGUUACAAAAUUCACCUUUCUCUUUGGAAUAUUUUACUCUUAAUACACUCUUAGCCUGGGAGAAACACAGGACCUCCUAGAGCUGUAGGAUUAUUUGUAUGCGAGCUGUAGUUAGGGGAAGAGAUUGAACAGUGAGGUCUAGAAUAAAAAGUUUGUGCCAUUUAAAAAAAUAUCCACCCUCACAUGUCCAGAUGCUUCAACUGCAGAAGGCUACAUCACUGAGGAAGAGGGGAGCUGCUAAGGCUGGUUUGCUUCUUACACGGGAUGGGGCUUUCAAGCUGCCACACUCAUGUCUGCCUCCUACCAAACUGUACCGUCACAUCCAGGCAUGCAAGAAAAUGUGAGUCACAUCCCUUCAAAAUUAGGAAAUGGGUUUUAAAAAGUACCCAUUUUCUGAAAAAAAAAAGAAAAAAAAGAAAAAAAAAAAGAACUGAUUUAUUUAUUUUUCUCUCUGUAUCUGUCAGAGUCACAGCUUUGGAGGAAAAAAGUUAAAAUGUUAAGGAAUAUCAAAUGUAAGACUUUUAUGUAAUCCCGUGAUCCAAGAUGAUGAUGUCUUAUGAGAUCCGUCACGCUGUGAUACUUGCACUUAAUUUGUGAGGUUUAGAGGCUGGAAACUGGAUACACGAUUGUCUUAUAAAAAUGCAAACAAAUCAAAAAGGUCUUCAGCUUUUCUUCA